AUUGAACGCUGGCGGCAGGCCUAACACAUGCAAGUCGAGCGGAUGAAGGGAGCUUGCUCCUGGUUUCAGCGGCGGACGGGUGAGUAAUGCCUAGGAAUCUGCCUGGUAGCGGGGGAUAACGUCCGGAAACGGGCGCUAAUACCGCAUACGUCCAGAGGGAGUACGUGGGGGAUCUUCGGACCUCACGCUAUCAGAUGAGCCUAGGUCGGAUUAGCUAGUUGGUGGGGUAAAGGCCUACCAAGGCGACGAUCCGUAACUGGUCUGAGAGGAUGAUCAGUCACACUGGAACUGAGACACGGUCCAGACUCCUACGGGAGGCAGCAGUGGGGAAUAUUGGACAAUGGGCGAAAGCCUGAUCCAGCCAUGCCGCGUGUGUGAAGAAGGUCUUCGGAUUGUAAAGCACUUUAAGUUGGGAAGAAGGGCAGUAAGUUAAUACCUUGCUGUUUUGACGUUACCAACAGAAUAAGCACCGGCUAACUUCGUG
rnacentral:rRNA from 1 species